rnacentral:rRNA from 1 species
GACGAACGCUGGCGGCGUGCUUAACACAUGCAAGUCGAGCGGUAAGGCCCUUUCGGGGGUACACGAGCGGCGAACGGGUGAGUAACACGUGGGUGACCUGCCCUCAGCUCUGGGAUAAGCCCGGGAAACUGGGUCUAAUACCGGAUAUGACUUCAUGACGCAUGUUGUGGAGUGGAAAGCCUUGUGCGGCUGAGGAUGGGCCCGCGGCCUAUCAGCUUGUUGGUGGGGUGANGGCCUACCAAGGCGACGACGGGUAGCCGGCCUGAGAGGGCGACCGGCCACACUGGGACUGAGAUACGGCCCAGACUCCUACGGGAGGCAGCAGUGGGGAAUCUUGCGCAAUGGGCG